rnacentral:rRNA from 1 species
GACGAACGCUGGCGGCGUGCUUAACACAUGCAAGUCGAACGAAGAGCGAUGGAAGCUUGCUUCUAUCAAUCUUAGUGGCGAACGGGUGAGUAACGCGUAAUCAACCUGCCCUUCAGAGGGGGACAACAGUUGGAAACGACUGCUAAUACCGCAUACGAUCUGACCUCGGCAUCGAGGAUAGAUGAAAGGUGGCCUCUACAUGUAAGCUAUCACUGAAGGAGGGGAUUGCGUCUGAUUAGCUAGUUGGAGGGGUAACGGCCCACCAAGGCGAUGAUCAGUAGCCGGUCUGAGAGGAUGAACGGCCACAUUGGGACUGAGACACGGCCCAGACUCCUACGGGAGGCAGCAGUGGGGAAUCUUCCGCAAUGGACGAAAGUCUGACGGAGCAACGCCGCGUGAGUGAUGACGGCCUUCGGGUUGUAAAGCUCUGUUAAUCGGGACGAAAGGCCUUUUUGCGAAUAGUGAGAAGGAUUGACGGUACCGGAAUAGAAAGCCACGGCUAACUACGUGC